rnacentral:rRNA from 1 species
AGAUUAAGCAAAAAAGAGCGCAGGGUGGAUGCCUUGGCACUAAGAGCCGAAGAAAGACGUGAUAAGCUGCGAAAAGCUGCGGGGAGAUGCAAAUAAUCCUUGAUCCGCAGAUGUCUGAAUGGGGAAACCCGGUACGAAGAACUCGUAUCAUCCAUACGCCAAUCCAUAACGUAUGGAGGGGAACCCGGUGAACUGAAACAUCUAAGUAGCCGGAGGAAGAGAAAGAAACAUCGAUUUUGUUAGUAGCGGCGAGCGAAAGCGAAAGAGGCCAAACCGGAGUGCGUGCACUCCGGGGUUCGGACCGCAUUUAAGAUUCAGUGAUUCUAGCAGAAAGGUUUGGGAAAGCCUGCCGGAGAGGGUGAAAGCCCCGUAAGCGAAAGGAGAACUGACUGAGCGGGAUCCAGAGUACAUCGAGACACGAGAAACCUUGAUGGAAUGAGCGGGGACCACCCCGUAAGCCUAAAUACUACUUAGUGACCGAUAGCGCAUAGUACUGUGAAGGAAAGGUGAAAAGGACCCCGGGAGGGGAGUGAAAGAGAACCUGAAACCCUGUGUUUACAAGCUGUGGAAGUUCUUUAAAUGAACAACCGCGUACUUUUUGUAGAACGGUCCGGCGAGUUGCGGAUACUGGCAAGGUUAAGCACUUAAGGUGCGGAGCCGAAGGGAUACCAAGUCUUAACAGGGCGUUAAGUCAGUAUACGCAGACCCGAAACCGGGUGAUCUAUCCAUGUCCAGGUUGAAGUUGUCGUAAAAGACAAUGGAGGACCGAAGCCACAUCCGUUGAAAAGGGUGGGCAUGAGGUGUGGAUAGGGGAGAAAUUCCAAUCGAACCCGGAGAUAGCUGGUUCUCCUCGAAAUAGCUUUAGGGCUAGCCUCGAUUUAGUCUUAUGGAGGUAGAGCACUGAAUUUCCGCGGGGGCGUCAAAGCUUACCAAAGAAUAUCAAACUCCGAAUGCCAUGUAGAUGAUGAUCGGGAGUCAGACUGCACGAGAUAAGUUGGGCAGUCAAAAGGGAAAGAGCCCAGACCACCGGCUAAGGUCCCAAAGUGCGUGUUAAGUGGAAAAGGAUGUGGGAAUUCGAAGACAACUAGGAUGUUGGCUCAGAAGCAGCCAUACAUUCAAAGAGUGCGUAACAGCUCACUAGUCGAGAGUUCCUGCGCCGAAAAUGUCCGGGGCUGAAACACGACACCGAAGCCGUGGACUCGCAAUGCGAGUGGUAGAGGAGCAUUCUUAAAACUGACGAAGCUGUACCGUAAGGAGCAGUGGAGGGAUAAGAAGAGAGAAUGCCGGAAUGAGUAGCGAGAGAAAGGUGGGAAUCCUUUCGGCCGAAUAUCUAAGGUUUCCAGAGUAAAGCUGAUCUGCUCUGGGUAAGUCGGGGCCUAAGCACAGGUCGCAAGACGUAAGCGAUGGAUAACAGGUUUAGAUUCCUGUACCACGCAUUAUCAGAACUGUAGGGACGCAUGUGGAAAGCACGGGCCGGGAAUGGAAAGACCGGUACAAGCGGGGUAGGUGUACAAUAGGCAAAUCCGUUGUAUGAUCCGAAGACGUGAUGUGGAGCGAAAUAAAGUAGCAAAGCGUGUGAGCCAUGUGCCGAGAAAAGCUGCUAUUGUGUAAUGCGUGCCCGUACCGUAAACCGACACAGGUGGAUGAGGAGAGAAUCCUAAGGCCGACGGAAGAAGCAUUGUUAAGGAAUUCGGCAAAAUGACCCCGUAACUUCGGGAGAAGGGGUGCCUGCGAGAGCAGGCCGCAGAGAAUAGGCUCAAGCAACUGUUUAGCAAAAACACAGGUCUAUGCGAAACCGAAAGGUGAAGUAUAUGGGCUGACGCCUGCCCGGUGCUGGAAGGUUAAGAGGAGAGGUUAGCGUAAGCGAAGCUUUGAAUUUAAGCCCCAGUAAACGGCGGCCGUAACUAUAACGGUCCUAAGGUAGCGAAAUUCCUUGUCGGGUAAGUUCCGACCCGCACGAAAGGCGUAAUGAUUUGAGCACUGUCUCGACAAUGCAUCCGGUGAAAUUGAAGUACCAGUGAAGAUGCUGGUUACCCGCGCCAGGACGGAAAGACCCCAUGGAGCUUUACUCCAGUUUGAUACUGGGAUUCGGUACUGCAUGUACAGGAUAGGUGGGAGACGAAGAAGGAUGGACGCCAGUCUGUCCGGAGUCGCUGUUGGGAUACCACCCCUGUAGUACUGGGUUUCUAACCAGUUACCAUGAUCUGGUAAUGGGACAAUGUCAGGCGGGGAGUUUGACUGGGGCGGUCGCCUCCGAAAGGGUAUCGGAGGCGCUCAAAGGUUCCCUCAGAAUGGUUGGAAACCAUUUGAAGAGUGCAAAGGCAGAAGGGAGCUUGACUGCGACACCGACGGGUGGAGCAGGUACGAAAGUAGGACUUAGUGAUCCGGUGGUAUAAAGUGGGAUUGCCAUCGCUCAACGGAUAAAAGCUACCCUGGGGAUAACAGGCUUAUCACUCCCAAGAGUUCACAUCGACGGAGUGGUUUGGCACCUCGAUGUCGGCUCAUCGCAUCCUGGGGCUGUAGCAGGUCCCAAGGGUUGGGCUGUUCGCCCAUUAAAGCGGUACGCGAGCUGGGUUCAGAACGUCGUGAGACAGUUCGGUCCCUAUCCGGCGCGGGCGGAGGAUAUUUGAGAGGAGCUGUCCUUAGUACGAGAGGACCGGGAUGGACGGACCACUGGUGUAUCUGUUGUCGACCAACGGCAUGGCAGAGUAGCCAAGUCUGGAAGGGAUAAACGCUGAAGGCAUCUAAGCGUGAAGCCCCCCUCAAGAUGAGAUAUCCCUCCUUCGGGAGUAAGACCCCUUGAAGACUACAAGGUAGAUAGGGCAGAGGUGGAAGCAUGGCAACAUGUGGAGCUGACUGUUACUAAUAGGUCGAGGGCUUAAUCUGAU